rnacentral:rRNA from 1 species
GAUGAACGCUGACAGAAUGCUUAACACAUGCAAGUCGAUGGGGAAGUGGUGCUUGCACCCUGGUAACCAUGGCGGACGGGUGAGUAACGCGUAAGGAACUUGCCUGCGGGACUGGGAUAACAGCAGGAAACUGCUGAUAAUACCGGAUAAGGUCAUUAAGCUGCAUAGCUUAGUGAUGAAAGGAGACGCCUGCGGAGAGCCUUGCGUCCUAUUAGCUAGUUGGAGGGGUAACGGCCCACCAAGGCGAAGAUAGGUAGCCGGCCUGAGAGGGUGGACGGCCACAAGGGGACUGAGAUACGGCCCUUACUCCUACGGGAGGCAGCAGUGGGGAAUAUUGGACAAUGGGGGCAACCCUGAUCCAGCAAUUCUGUGUGCACGAAGACGGUUUUCGGAUUGUAAAGUGCUUUCAGCAGGGAAGAAGGAAGUGACGGUACCUGCAGAAGAAGCGACGGCUAAAUACG